ACGACGGGCGUGGGAGAGAACCGCGCAAGCGGUCGCCGAAGGAGCAAGCCGGGGUUGCCGGACCCUGCGCGAAUCUCUCAGGCGAAAGGACUGCGCCCUGACG
rnacentral:ncRNA from 2 species